rnacentral:rRNA from 1 species
ACUCCUACGGGAGGCAGCAGUGGGGAAUUUUGGACAAUGGGCGAAAGCCUGAUCCAGCAAUGCCGCGUGAGUGAAGAAGGCCUUCGGGUUGUAAAGCUCUUUUGUCAGGGAAGAAACGGUGAGAGCUAAUAUCUCUUGCUAAUGACGGUACCUGAAGAAUAAGCACCGGCUAACUACGUGCCAGCAGCCGCGGUAAUACGUAGGGUGCAAGCGUUAAUCGGAAUUACUGGGCGUAAAGCGUGCGCAGGCGGUUUUGUAAGUCUGAUGUGAAAUCCCCGGGCUCAACCUGGGAAUUGCAUUGGAGACUGCAAGGCUAGAAUCUGGCAGAGGGGGGUAGAAUUCCACGUGUAGCAGUGAAAUGCGUAGAUAUGUGGAGGAACACCGAUGGCGAAGGCAGCCCCCUGGGUCAAGAUUGACGCUCAUGCACGAAAGCGUGGGGAGCAAACAGGAUUAGAUACCCUGGUAGUCCACGCCCUAAACGAUGUCUACUAGUUGUCGGGUCUUAAUUGACUUGGUAACGCAGCUAACGCGUGAAGUAGACCGCCUGGGGAGUACGGUCGCAAGAUUAAAACUCAAAGGAAUUGACGGGGACCCCCACAAGCGGUGGAGCAUGUGG